ACACCAAGGAUGUCAUACACAGGUAAGAAUUAAUAAAGGGGUAGCUACCUUUAGUAGUGAAUACAACUGGGGGUUUGUAGCUGUUGCAAUUUAGUAGCAGUUACAGGUUGAAAGUAACUACUUGGAAAAAUAAGGGAAGGAAAUAGAAGUCAGAACCCUUUCUGCUUGGUUUAUGGCUCAGCUAUUUCACAGCAGUUUUAAUGUGUCCUAAUAUCUGCUUUUUUUCAAAACAGAGAUUUAAAGCCUGGGAAUCUCCUUGUGGAUCAAGACGGCUACAUCAAGAUCGCCGAUUUUGGGAUGGGCAAAACUGGUAAGGGACACCUUGUAUUAUUACACAGGGCAAAGAGGACUCAUGUAGGGCAUUCACUGGCAUAAAUGUCUUCAUAAAACUCACUAACAAUUAUUUUUUUUUUUAAUCAAGGCAUCGGAUAUGGAGACCGCACCAACACCAUGGUUGGUAGUCCGGCUUAUAUGGCACCGGAAGUCGUGAUGGAGGAGGCGUACACAAGAGCAGUCGACUGGUGGGCUCUUGGCGUCAUCGUUUAUGAGAUGCUCCUCGGGACGAAACCCUUCACUGGAUACGACAGGGACUUUCUAUACGACUGCAUUGUUGAGGAUGAACCACACUACCCCUCAACCCUGGACCCUGAAGCCUUGAGCUUCAUAUCAGAGGUAAGCGCUGACCUUUCACUUUAUUACAAUCACUGACCACUUUCUAAUUCUCUUGAGUUUCCCCAAAUAUUCUGUAGGUGUAACUGCUAUUUUCUGUUCUUGUAGCUGCUGAAGAAGAAUCCUGAGGAGAGGCUGGGUUCUACCCCAGGGAAUGCUGCUGAUGUAGCAGAGCAUCCAUUCUUUAAUGGCAUUGUCUGGGAUGACAUCAUCGAGAGGACAGCAGUAGCUCCGUUCAUACCCAGCCUAAACGGAC